AGAAGCUUUUUUUGCUUGCAUUAGAAGUGGACAGCGGCGAAAGGGAGAGUAACGCGUGGAUAUCUGCCCCUAGACUCGGGAUAGCUGCGGGAAACUGCAGGUAAUACCGAAUAAUGUCUCCGGACCAAAGGUGUGAUUCCGUCUAGGGAUGAGUCCGCGUCCUACUAGCUUGUUGGUGGGGUAAAAGCCUACCAAGGCAAUGAUGGGUAGCGGGUGUGAGAGCAUGGCCCGUCUCACUGGGACUGAGACACUGCCCAGACACCUACGGGUGGCUGCAGUCGAGAAUCUUCCGCAAUGGACGAAAGUCUGACGGAGCGACGCCGCGUGCGGGAUGAAGGCCCUCGGGUUGUAAACCGCUGUCAGUUGGGAGGAAAUGCAUAAGAGUUCUCUCUUAUGUUUGACCGAUCUUCAGAGGAAGUCCGGGCUAAGUUCGUGCCAGCAGCCGCGGUAAGACGAACCGGACGAACGUUAUUCGGAAUCACUGGGCUUAAAGAGUGCGUAGGCGGCUUGGUAGGUUGGGUGUGAAAUCCCACAGCUCAACUGUGGAACUGCGCUCAAAACCACCAAGCUUGAGGAAGGCAGAGGUGAGCGGAACUGAUGGUGGAGCGGUGAAAUGCGUUGAUAUCAUCAGGAACACCGGUGGCGAAGGCGGCUCACUGGGCCUUUUCUGACGCUGAGGCACGAAAGCUAGGGUAGCGAACAGGAUUAGAUACCCUGGUAGUCCUAGCUGUAAACGAUGAGCACUUGAUCGAGGGGACCUCCACAUCCUCUCGGUCGUAGCGAAAGUGUUAAGUGCUCCGC
rnacentral:rRNA from 1 species